GAUGAACGCUGGCGGCGUGCCUAAUACAUGCAAGUCGAGCGAACGGACGAGAAGCUUGCUUCUCUGAUGUUAGCGGCGGACGGGUGAGUAACACGUGGAUAACCUACCUAUAAGACUGGGAUAACUUCGGGAAACCGGAGCUAAUACCGGAUAAUAUUUUGAACCGCAUGGUUCAAAAGUGAAAGACGGUCUUGCUGUCACUUAUAGCUGGAUCCGCGCUGCAUUAGCUAGUUGGUAAGGUAACGGCUUACCAAGGCAACGAUGCAUAGCCGACCUGAGAGGGUGAUCGGCCACACUGGAACUGAGACACGGUCCAGACUCCUACGGGAGGCAGCAGUAGGGAAUCUUCCGCAAUGGGCGAAAGCCUGACGGAGCAACGCCGCGUGAGUGAUGAAGGUCUUCGGAUCGUAAAACUCUGUUAUGAGGGAAGAACAUAUGUGUAAGUAACUGUGCACAUCUUGACGGUACCUAAUCAGAAAGCCACGGCUAACUACGUG
rnacentral:rRNA from 1 species